rnacentral:rRNA from 1 species
GCCUGCCCAGUGACUUUAUGUUCAACGGCCGCGGUAUCCUGACCGUGCCAAGGUAGCGCAAUCACUUGCCCUUUAAAUGGGGGCCCGUAUGAAUGGCACCACGAGGGCUAAUCUGUCUCCUUUUUCAGGUCAAUGAAAUUGAUCUCCCCGUGCAGAAGCGGGGAUGCCUACAUAAGACGAGAAGACCCUGUGGAGCUUUAGACUUUAAGAUCGGUCCCGCACCCGCCCUAAUAAACACUGGGCCAAGCAAAGGAACUCGAUCUGACUGUCUUUGGUUGGGGCGACCGCGGGGAUUAACAAAACCCCCACGUAGACCGGAAGCAUAAUGCAUCCAAAACCAAGAGUUACCACUCUAACACAACAGAACUUCUGACUUUAACGUGAUCCGACAAAGUCGAUCAACGAACCGAGUUACCCCAGGGAUAACAGCGCAAUCCCCUCUAAGAGUUCACAUCGACGAGGGGGUUUACGACCUCGAUGUUGGAUCAGGACAUCCCAAUGGCGUAGCAACUAUUAAGGGUUCGUUUGUUCAACG